GAGAAAUUCAUGCGUUUCGGUUGAUGUUCAGCUAUAUCAGUAGAGCUUGCGAGGAGCUUAGCUAGAGUUUUAGUAAGGGCCACAACCUCCUUGCAUGGUGUUGAAAUCAAGGUGAUGAUGAAAAGGACUGAAAUAGGGUAGGUCCUAGUUCAACUAAAUCCAACAAUUAGUCAGUUUUAAUAAGGUUGGUGGCUAUGGUCAUCAACAUAAACAAGGAAG
rnacentral:lncRNA from 1 species